rnacentral:rRNA from 1 species
CUCGGUACGCGCGGAUCUUCCAGAGAUUAGAGUUUGAUCCUGGCUCAGAUUGAACGCUGGCGGCAGGCCUAACACAUGCAAGUCGAACGGUAACAGGAAGCAGCUUGCUGCUUCGCUGACGAGUGGCGGACGGGUGAGUAAUGUCUGGGAAACUGCCUGAUGGAGGGGGAUAACUACUGGAAACGGUAGCUAAUACCGCAUAACGUCGCAAGACCAAAGAGGGGGACCUUCGGGCCUCUUGCCAUCGGAUGUGCCCAGAUGGGAUUAGCUAGUAGGUGGGGUAACGGCUCACCUAGGCGACGAUCCCUAGCUGGUCUGAGAGGAUGACCAGCCACACUGGAACUGAGACACGGUCCAGACUCCUACGGGAGGCAGCAGUGGGGAAUAUUGCACAAUGGGCGCAAGCCUGAUGCAGCCAUGCCGCGUGUAUGAAGAAGGCCUUCGGGUUGUAAAGUACUUUCAGCGGGGAGGAAGGGAGUAAAGUUAAUACCUUUGCUCAUUGACGUUACCCGCAGAAGAAGCACCGGCUAACUCCGUGCCAGCAGCCGCGGUAAUACGGAGGGUGCAAGCGUUAAUCGGAAUUACUGGGCGUAAAGCGCA